rnacentral:rRNA from 1 species
UACGAAGGGGGCGAGCGUUGUUCGGAAUUACUGGGCGUAAAGCGUGCGUAGGCGGCUUUGUAAGUUGGGAGUGAAAUCCCCGGGCUCAACCCGGGAAUUGCUUUCAAAACUGCAGAGCUUGAAUCUCGGAGAGGAUAGCGGAAUUCCCAGUGUAGAGGUGAAAUUCGUAGAUAUUGGGAGGAACACCAGUGGCGUAAGCGGCUAUCUGGACGAGUAUUGACGCUGAGGCACGAAAGCGUGGGGAUCAAACAGG